UCGGUACGAUCUAUGUUCUCCUUCCUCUCAAUCGGCAAAGACCUCCCUCAAGAUUGCUGCAGAUUAAUUCACUUUUUCCUCUCAAUCCACAAAAACCUCCCUCAAGAUUUUUGCAGGUUAAUUCAUGUUGCACCAAAGCAGCCCCUGCCCCCCUGUCGCUGGUUCCUCCUCCUCGAUAUUUCCAUAGCUUCAAGGGCAGAUUUGAUCGUACCCUUUCAUCCUACUCCCAGGCUCAUGAUGCUCGAUCCCAUUAACCCCCGAGUUCCUCGAUCUAAUCUUGCAGUGAAGACUGACGCCUCCUAGCUCCUGGUCAUGGUGUGGUCAGGGUUUGCGCCAUGGCUGAAAUCAGCUGUAGUAGUGGACAUGCUGCUAUGAUCCUCGGCCUCUCGCACUCCUCCCCUCACCCUGUCCUAGGAGGCCAACUUGGAACAGGAAAAUAUCGAUCCAGAUAGGUACAUGCACAUGUGCCCAUGUACGCUGGGCAACCGCCAACCUGAAAUAGGGAAAGAUCGAUCCAGAUUUGAUCUACUUCUAAUUUUAUCUCCACUGAUUUAGAUCGUAACUCAUGUUCCAUGGAUACGAAUUUGGACAACUGGAUCAAUGAUGUGUUGUGCUCUAUGAACAUGUA